UAUUGUCUAUUCAAAAUUCAAAAUUCUGGACAGUUGAAUUUUGCUGCACUCUACAGCCUGUUAUUAGUUUAUUUAUAUUUAUUAUUGUUUUGUGUUUCGUCUAGCGGUUGAAUAUUUUGUACAUUAAAAUUGUGUGUUUUUAUCAUUUUACGUAUUGUAUCCAUGAGUAACAUGGAAGUGGAUGGUGCGGAGAACAGUAAUAGUUGUAGCAAUAUAUCAGACGGAGGAAAGUAUGCUAAUUCAAAAGCAUUCGUGGAUGCUGCACGCCAGUAUGAAACCACACAUAGCGAGGCGUCUGUUAGUUUAAUGAACAGACAUUUAAACCUGUUAGCGUCGACGUGUGAUUUAUCAAUAUUCGCUCCCGGGAGGUCGGAGGUGUGCGCUUUGUUCAGCUCGCUGUGGCGCGUGAUGAGGGAGCCGGGCGGGCCGCACUGGGCCGGCGUCGCGGUCCUGGCCCGGGCUUGCAUGGAGCCGAGCGCCCGGCAUGCGCUUACGCACACUUACAAAUUUAUGCCAAUAUUGACUCAGUUGUUAUCAAAUUCUAUUUCAAAUGACAAGAAAAUCAAGCUGCUUUCGGUAAUGCAGGACAUUUCCUAUGGUAUUAUUAUAAGUUGGCAGGAGUCAUACCUUCCUGUGCUCAUGAAGAAGUUAACAGACUGGAUCACAACCUCAUGCAAUGACCCCCAGGAGCAAUUGAUCAAACACCGGUCCCUCACAGUGUUGGCCAACAUCUGCUCUGGAAACUUACCCGCUGUAUAUGCUUUGAUAAGGACCAUAGAUACUAAGAAAUUUGUUGUACAUCUCAUGGGUUUAAAGGAUGGCUGGUGCGGAGGGGCCGACGUGUGCCGGCUGUUGUUGUGCCUGUCGGCGGCGACGCGCGGCGCGGGCGCCGUGCGCCAGACCGACGUCAACAGCUACCUGUCCUGCUGCGUGCUCACCUUCAGCAAGGCGGUCAUAGAUAAGGACUCGAGUCAACUACUGCAGGCGUACACCCUCAUGAACGAGCUGUGCCAAGACAUCAACCUGAGGAACCUCGUCGCCAGCGCGCCCGACUUCUGCCUCGAGACCACCUUGAAGAACUUGGUGGAGUUUUGCAACGCACCCAAUCAAGCAUUAGAGCCUGAGCAAGUUACUGCUGUUGUCCAAAAUGCUUUAAAGUUCCUCGUGGUCUUAGUUAAUUUAGAUAUGUAUCCGUUCCGCAAAAACCACUGUCAAAUGCUUUGUCUGUGUUUGGUCGCACACCGGUUGUGUCUGCCAGAGAGCUUGGAAUUAUUCUCAUCCAUCAUAUGUCAAUACAAAGAUGAAGGUCAGCUACCUGAAGAGUUAAUAUUGAUGAUUAGCGAGGGUCUGCCAGGGCUUCUAGUGCCACCAGCGCUAGAACCAGGGAAAGCUGGAUUGCAAUGGUUGCAAGUGGUAGGUGCCCUGUGCGAGACGGGUUCUACGCAAGAGCGAGUGCUAAGGGCAGUGUCGCCAGAGGCGUAUGAAGAGAUUCUAUACAGCGUUCUGCAGUAUUCUACACAAAACGGCUCGGUGGGUCAGGAGCAGGGCCAGCAGGCGGCCGUGCUCGGCUGCAAGACGGCGUUGACGCUGGCGCCGCUGCUGCCGGCGUGGGGAGCCGCGCUCAAGAGGUUCCUACUGAACAACCAGGUGCGCAAAAUGCUAUCGACGGGUCUACGCAACGGAACGCGACGGCUUGAAAUACUGAAGCUAAUUAGGCACCACCUAUUCCCUUGUGACCAAAUGGAUGAGGUUUUCGAGGAGUGUCCGAAGCAGUUGUCGGAGGGUAGCGCGUCGCCGCGCGCCGCGGAGGUGGACGAGGCGUGGCAGUCGGCGCCGCGCCUCACGCCGGGCCAGGAGCACGCCGUCGACGCGCUGGUGCGCCAGCUCACUGAAGCUCUUAAGAACAACAAGAUAUCCGACAUUGCGACAUCGAGUGUAAUGGAGCUAUAUGGAUACAAAAUGACAUGUUUGGAACAAAGACUGCAUUCACAAACUGUUGCGCUUCAGGGAGCAAGUGAACACAUGGCGUCUCUGCAACAUUCUCUAGCGAUGCUUCAAGCAACCAAUUCGUCUCAGCAGGAUGUUUUAUACACUACACAGAUGCAAAACGAAAAAUUAAAAAAGACAAUCGACAAUCUACAUAAGCAAUUAGAGGAUGCCGAGGGUGCCGUACGCGGGUACCGAGCGAAGGUCGUCUCGGAAAAAGCACUUAAAGAAAAGCAAAAAGAGAUACUGCAGAACGAAUUCAAAACCAAACUUAACACUCUAGAAAAUGAAAUGAGAGCCAUUGAAAAAGAAAACCAAGAAAAAUUGAAGACCGCUGAACAGGAAACUAAAGCAGUGCAGAAGUUACUGGACCAGGAGACGAGCAAGUGUAAUGAACUAGCAGCUGUGCUGAUACGGUUCGAAGAGCAAGUUCAGGCUCAAGUCAAAGAGAUAGAAGAAGCCAAUGCACUUGAGCGAUCUCUUAGAAAAGAAAUAGAACUUAAAGAAUUGACAAUAAAGCAUCAAGAAAAGACGAUACUCGAGCGAGAGAACCGGCUGUACCAGUUGAACACGCAGCUCGAGGAGAUGAAGCGCGUGCAGGAGAUGAUAGCCAAGCUCACGUCCAAGAGCGCUAGCACUGCCGCCUCGCCCAAUAACAGCACAUAACACAGGCAGGCCGGCAACGCGCUUCCGAGGGUAACAUAACGCGACUGGAUGCGCGUCUACUAUUAUUUAUAAAGUAAUGACUAAUGAAGACUAGAACUGAAAUUUUGACCAGUCUCUACUUUGUGAUAGUUUUUAGAAAUAUAAUUUUAUUUGUGACAUUAACAAUGAUGUAAAUUGAUCAAUAAUGUUCAUGGUAUGUAAUAGAAUAAGUUAUAAGAUUCUUUUUUUACCCUGGUAUAUACAUUUUAUUAAUUCUAGUCAAUAAAUUAUAUAAUGACUCGAACUGG